CUGUGACCGAGCUCAGCGGUGCGAUAGCAGCUUGCUCAGUCUAAUUUCAACCGCCGCGGAAGUUGUGCGACGCUCGAGCAUCUCUCUCCAACGUCUCUCCACACGCCUUUUCUACUCGUGCCAGAUUCUCACCCUUUUAGAUACGACACUUGUGUGUAUACGUCAGGAGGGCUCAAGACACACCAAAGAACUAGAGAGUGAGAGAGAGUAUAAGAACAUCAAGCCCCUAAAAAUAAAUCCCCAAGUGUUUAUUCAGCACUAAAUAAAUAUCUUGUGUGCUAUUUAAAAGAGAAAAAAAAUUUUUUUUGCCAUCACACUACAGUCAAAUGAGGCUCGGUUGAAAGCUGGUGACUCGUGACGAGCAAACGUGUGCACACGGUUAACGCGUGUGUUGACGAUAAGAAAUGUGGCGAAGGAGCUCGCCACGUGGGCGCCUGUGUUUAUAAAUCAACGAGUGUGUGUAUUAUAUCUACCAAUGAGACAAUGAUGAAACUUUAUUACACCUGUUUUCAGCAACAGCAACAGCAACAGAACCACCACCAGCAACAACAACAAUAUCAUCAAAUCCAACUUGACCACUGUCACCGCAACAAUCAUCACCACUCACAUAAAUUGGAAUUCACGACAAAUAAUUUUGUUAUUAUCAACAGCAGUAGCAGCAACAACUUUAACAACAACGACAAUAGAGAUAAAAAAAGUGUUUGCGCGAAAUAAAGUACCAUGGAGCUUGGGAUCAAUGUCUCGGUGUCAAGCUGUAUGGUUGCUCAUCAGCUCGUUGACAACAUUGUACCGACAUUUAUUUGGAUUUGUUAAAUGAGCGGAUAUACAGUGACGGAACGAAUGGCUGCUUGUUAUUGUCGGGUGUCAGUGAGCGGAUCCAAGGAUGCUCGGAUCUGGGGCUCCCGGUUUACGAGCGAUUGGUGGUAGACGACAAGUGGUGUCACGGUGCCGUGGUGGUGAUGAUGAGAAGGACAAGGUCCCGUGGAGUCCAAGGCUCGGGGCCAAGACUACCAUCGUUAAUCGGUGAUGGGAUGGACUGAUUAUAUUACUAGACUUAAACUAGUGUUUGAUAUAGGUAUUAACGUGAGAGUGAACGUCAACAUCGUCGUCCUCGUGUCCACUACCGUGUGGAAGAGGGGAGAGACGUGGGCGAGCGAAGGGGUUACAGCGGUAGCAGAUCGGAUAAUGCGGGCUUCCUUGAUUUUAUCGGGAAUCCUAAGCGGCUGGUGGUGCAUCCUCACGCUCAUAGCGGCACCCCCAGCCAUCAGUUUACAACUCCGGGGACCGGAUGAUUUUUACCCCCGGACAAACAAGUGGCUGUCAAUGAUUAGCACUGGCUUAAGACACCGGGUAAAAGAACACGGCAGAUCGUUGUCUUCCGGUUACGAGACUAUUACUCAGUCGACACUAAAAGCCAGGUCCAGAGCUGGUAGAUCCAGCGGAGGUCGCAGCAAAAGUGAGUCUCGGAGGGAACAGCGAAAACGGUGCCGUCGAAAAAACGGAACUGCUUGUCACAGUCGAAAUUGGUGUCCUGAUAUAGAUGUGGGUAAUCGUGCGUAUUUAGCGCCUACAGUAUUUGAGGGUAAAGCACGAAGUAUGUCGUCCUCGAGGAGUCCUGGGUCAAAUUACGCGGUGACCUUUGAGGUGAAGCAGGUUUACAAAAGUCAAGCUGGAUUCCAGCCACUACGCAAAAACGACAGUGUACGACUCCAUUUUCGCGACAAGUCGGAUAAGAGAACAGGAGGAGGAGGAGGUGGUGGUGGUGGAGGAGGAGAAGCAGGUGGCAAGUCCUCGUUGUGUCGUAACGAGGGCACCGACGAGCAUCAGCAGCUACACGAACUGCGUCAGCGUGAUGACAAUGCUCGAGUGGUGCGCGCCGACAUUAAACGCGGUAAAGUGUAUCUAGUGUUUGUGAAUCGUGUGGGACCUAGAAACUUUACAAUCCUGGGUGAGCCGGUGAUACGAAGCAAGAAAAACGAACAGGCGGUACAGGCAGUCAUUCGACCCGAUUACGUACGAGAAGUGACGUUGACGGAGCUCAGGGACUCGGUGGCAAGAACGAGGGAGCGAGUAAAGCUUGUAUGCAGGACGAGAGGUUCGCCACCACCUAGAGUCCGUUGGCUCAAAGACGGUGUGCCGCUGUAUCCACGACGGGGCCUGAGAAUUCAGCACAAACGAAGACGAUCCAAAGUGGUAAUUGCGUCCGCACGCCCCGAAGACAGCGGUAGGUACGAGUGCGUUGCCCAAAGUACCUCUGGCUAUCGGGCCUCCCUUGCAGCCCAACUUCUAGUCGUUAAUGACGUCAAGGUUACUGAAACCACAACAGUAGCGUGGCCUAGACAAGAGCAGCCGUGUCCUAUAGCAGGUGAUUUUUGCAUGAACGGCGGUACCUGUCUCUUCUUCGAGACCGUUGGUGAACCAGCAUGCAGAUGUGCGGAGGGCUUUACCGGUCUACGAUGCGAGACCAAGGACGUAAUCAGCACCGGAAGUGUGUACAACCGUCAUAGAGCGCCAUUUUCAUGCAAGUUGGGUCUUUCGACCUCGUAUUACUGCUAACGAUAGUGACGCGGAACCCAAUUUGGUAGCUGCUACUUUUUUUGGCGUUCCCAACUUAUUUUUUAUGCCACAUCAUCAUCAUUAUUAUUCUUACUAUUAUUUUUAUUAUUAUUAUUAUUAUUAUUUUUAUUAUUAUUAUUAUUAUUAUUAUUAUUAUUAUUAUUAUUAUUAUUAUUAUUAUUAUUAUUAUUAUUAUUACGAUUAUUGUUAUUAUUAGUUUAUUUUUCAAUCAUCCACUCACUCACGAUUAACAUUCACUUACCAUUCACUCAUCGUUAGCGAUGUUAAUACAAUUAUUAUUUACAAUAAUCCAUUUAUCCUAGCCUAUGCCUUGCCUAAAACUAGACAAUUUGUACGAAUUACAAUUGCAUUUUAUUUCUUAAACAGAUGUCAAUUUUUAUUAAUAGAUAGGCACUCGCUCGCUUGCUCUCUCGCUCUAAUUUUCUGUCUUUUUUUUUAUUUUCUUCUCUGUAGGUAUACAUAUACAUUCUAUUAAUAUAUUUAGAUAAAUAUAAUUGAUAAUAAUUUCAACAGCAAUCCUUAAUUUUUCCCGUGAAUUAUACCAAAGAAGUGUCUUCCAAACACUACCAAUCACCCGAAGAAUACACUUAUUAUUAUAACGAUUAUUUUUCAAUAACCAAACGCUUUUAAUGUUCAUAUUAUUAUUAUACUGGGUAAUCUGAAAAUAAUUAAAAGCAUCCCGAAGAUUAAUGUAUCAGUAACUCUAUUAUAAUAAUAAACAUUCAAUUUAUAAAUAUUUUUUUACCAAAAAAUGAUUGUAAAAAAAAUAUUUUUCUUAACAUGAGUUUUUUUGAGAACAUGUUGAUUAAAAAAAUUACAACUGAUACGUUCGUCUGUUUAAAAAAUCAAACCACUCAUUGACACAGAGAGAGUAUAAGUGCCAGGCUAUGUCUAUCUUGAGAAUCUAUUUAUGUUUUAUACAGUAACUAUGUUGUUAUUAAUUAUUAUAAUUAUCUUUAUUAUUAAUUUAUCUUUAAUUGUAUUAUUAUUAUUAUUAUCAUUAUCUUAAAUAAUAUUAUUAACUAUUAAUUAUAAUUAUUUUAUGUUAUGUUAUGUUAUGUUAUGUAUAAUUUUAACGUGUACAUACAUGUAUACAUUCACGGACUUAAAUACAAUACAUGUAUAAAUAAAUUAUGUAUAAGUAGAAUGCAGUUGAAUGCAUUGAGCUUUAAAAAUGAAUUUUUAUAAUCAAAAUUUAUUUAAAUUAAAUAAUAAUAAAAAUUCAUUUUUAGCAUACGUUAAUUUUCUUUUAAUUUUUUUUUUAUAUAGAAUUGAAAAAAAAUAUUUAAUUUAUUUAUUAAUUAUUAAUCGUUUAAAUUUAUUAAUUUGUAAUUAAAAAUCAUCUCUAUCAUAGCAGAUUAUUGUUUUAUAAUUAUUUUUAUUAUUGUUAUUAUUUUAUUGUCUUUUAAUUUUAUUUGAAUUAAAAGAUUGUGGUGCAAAUAACAACUUAAACUCGUUCCUCGACGACUGAAUCUAUUUUUGACUGUACAUCUCCCGCUAAAAUAUCGAGCACACGGGCCAUCAUUGAAGAAUUAAAAUACUAUUAUUUCUUUAAUGAUUAAUUACUUACUAUGUUUUAUUGUAUAAUAUUUAAACAGUUGUUAUUAUAUAUACAAUAAAAUCAUAUAUUAAUAUAUACACAUAUAUACAUAAGUAUAGAAAGUAGUUUUAAGUCACUCUCGUAGUAGCUUUGACGCUUGUGUCCGGCUGGCGGCAAACGACGUUGGUGACGGUAAAAUCGUGCAAGAUAGGUGAACUCGGAUGAUUCACGAGAGUCGGAAAUAGAACUAGAGCCGUUUGCCCUCAAGCGACUCUUACUCCCGUCUCUUGAUUCAACUUAAGCCGAGGAAUUCUUGCGUAGCACUCACUUUAUAUAUAUAUACGUGUAUAAAUUGUAAGUGAGUGAAAUACUCACACGGCUAUUUAUUUAAUUUUGUAAGAUAGUCUGUAUAUACUAUAUACCAUAUACUACACUAAAAUAUAAACGUAUAAUUUACAAUAUUUACAACUUAUGAGUACUUGAGAUGCUUGUAGAUGCUAGUUAAUAGCUUGUAGUUUUGUUGCAUCACGCUGGAGGAAGUAGCGAAGCUUGCCAAGUAGAUACCAUGGCCAUGUUCUCGCUUCAGUGGUUGUUUAAAUUACCACCGCAUAUGUUUUGUUAUCGUUUAUAAAUUUGUUUUUUUUAUCGGUGUAUUUUUUGUACAUCGAAAUUAAACAACCGAUACACAAGUUGGCGGACCAGGCAUCAGCCGAAAUCCGAGCAGAGUCCAACAAUCAUGAUGGCCAAGUUAAUUCUCGUAUAAAACAGUGAUUAUAAACUACUGGCCAGAUUAUAAUACUGGAGAACUAAGUAUGUAAUACUUAACUACGGCAGAUAGAGAUUUUCACUGAGAAAGAAAAAAAAAUAAAAGUUGUACGUCAAAGGGUUGCUGCUGAGAAAGUUGGCGAGCAGCCGGGCGCCUCGACAACCAACCCAAGACUUGGCGACGAAUUUUCUCGCCCGCGCCAAGAUAAACUUAAUGGUUUUAAGUAAUUCGAGACU